UACGGAGGGUGCGAGCGUUAAUCGGAAUUACUGGGCGUAAAGCGCACGCAGGCGGUUUGUUAAGCUAGAUGUGAAAGCCCCGGGCUCAACCUGGGAUGGUCAUUUAGAACUGGCAGACUAGAGUCUUGGAGAGGGGAGUGGAAUUCCAGGUGUAGCGGUGAAAUGCGUAGAUAUCUGGAGGAACAUCAGUGGCGAAGGCGACUCCCUGGCCAAAGACUGACGCCCAUGUGCGAAAGUGUGGGUAGCGAACAGG
rnacentral:rRNA from 1 species